UACGUAGGUGGCAAGCGUUGUCCGGAAUUAUUGGGCGUAAAGCGCGCGUAGGCGGUUUUCCAAGUCAGUGGUGAAAGCCCGGGGCUCAACCCCGGAAUAGCCUUUGAAACCGGAAAACUAGAAUCUUGGAGAGGUCAGUGGAAUUCCGAGUGUAGAGGUGAAAUUCGUAGAUAUGCGGAAGAACACCAGUGGCGAAGGCGACUGACUGGACAAGUAUUGACGCUGAGGUGCGAAAGCGUGGGGAGCAAACAGG
rnacentral:rRNA from 1 species